rnacentral:lncRNA from 1 species
CCGACGACGACCCUCCUCGCUGCCUUCUCCCCGGUGAGGAUCUGCUCUCUUCCUUCCCUCUCCUAUCCUCUGCUCUCGCUGCCCCAAACUCUCGCCCUCGAUCUCGGUCCUCUCCGCUCUCACCAAGUGCGCCGCCACGUGCAAGAACUGUGUCCCUGUGUUUUGGUGCAUCGGCGACUCCCGAGCCCGCGCGCGCAAUGGCUCAACGGCUGCGGACAGGAUGAGUGGGCGGAGGGCAGGAUGAGUGGGCGGCGCAACGGCUGCGGCGGCUCGGGCGAGCCGGAUCCUGCGGAGAAGAGGUCGUCCUCGUCAAGCUCGAAGGCCGUAGAGGCCGACUGUUCUACAAGCAGGCAGCCACCAAAACUGAUCAUAGGGUUCUGAUCUGCUCGAUGCCCAUCGUAGCUGUAGAGGUUGCUUCGUAGCAGUUGUCUCGCGUCCAUAGGCUUCUGAUAAACUUGGUCGUCUAAGUACCCGCUUGGCAUUUUCAUUUUGCCCUGUUGAAUGUCCGUCGGAAGUCUGAAUAACUGCUUGCCUGAAAUGAAUACAUAUCGGAUAUUACAUCCUGAAUUGCCUUUCAUUUCUGAUUGAUAUCAUAUGGAAUUUCUUCCCAACGUGUUACUACUUACUACUAUCGCUCUACAACUGAUCAAUUGUUUAUUCCGAAAAUGCAUGUCACCUUGAGUUCCACGCUAUUGUUUGCUGCUAGCUAGUAUCAUUGCUCAGCCUCUCAAGUUCUUGUUCAGAAACCUGCACUUCUCUGCUUGUAUAUAUCAAGUCGCGGCGAAUGUUUUUGAACUGGUUGCCUGCCUGAAACAACUGAAUUCGGACGUGCAUGACACUUCUGUUUGAUCCCACAUCAAACAGAAUUAUUUAUCCUGAUUCAUAAUUAUAGUAUAACGCUAUUGUUUGCUGCUAGCUAAUACUCUGCAUGCAUAAUUAUAGUUGCCCUGCGUAGAUUUAUUUAUCCCGAUUCAUUUGUGUGCCUAGAUUCAUGUGUUUUCUUCAAGAAUUUAGUGUAUACUUUAUAAUCAUGUAUGCCAGCUACUUAUUUGAGUUGUUACAUGUAGAUCCCUACAACACCAAUUAUAGUUGGGGAAGGUGAACCUUCUCCCUCUUGGGAUCCGGUACCAACUCCAAAAGGUAUUAAAUUCUUUGUACAUAUAUAUGGUUUACUUUAGUCCUUAUUACUUGUACUUUUGAAAUGAUACAUGAUUUGCUUUAAGUCUAUUUUAUUAUUUAACUUCUACCAGACAAAAAAAUAUUCUUUAGUUCUACAAUGAGUAUCUCAUUGCGGGAUCGUAUUAGAAAGAGGAGGGAAGAAGAAGAUGAUGACAUGAUGAUAUUUAUUUUCCCCGCCUUAUAUCUGAUGGGUUCUACUAGAGGUGGGGGACAAAAGAAGAAACUUCAUACCUCAGAUGAGACAGGCGAGGUUAAGGUUCGUCGACUCCUCGAGGGACAUGUCAAGAACUGUCAAGUUACAUUUCGGAUGGAACCACACAUCUUCAGAGAGCUUGCAACUUAUCUUAGAAGGAGAAGGAUCAUUGUUGAUACAAGGAUCACGGUCGAGGAGAAGUUGGGGUUCUUCUUAUACAUGCUAAGUCGCAACGCCUCAUAUUAGGAUCUCCAAGUGUAUUUUGGGCACAGUAAUGACACAUUCCAUCAUCACAUCAACCACUUCUUCAAUAAGGUCAUUCCUGUCCUAUCUCGUCGUUUCAUUCAGCCUCCUGAUCCUAAUCAAGUGCAUCAAAAAAUACAAGGUAAUCCUAGAUUCUAUCCAUUCUUUAAGAAUUGUCUCGGUGCCAUUGAUGGAACUCAUAUUCCUAUUUCUAUAUCUCCUGAUAAACAUUCUCCUUUUCGAAAUCGGAAGGGAACACUUAGCAUAAAUGUGAUGGUGGCAUGUGAUUUCGAUCUCAAUAUCACUUUUGUUUCUAGUGGUUGGGAGGGAUUGGCUACAGAUUCUAGAAUGCUAAGAUCAGCUAUGAGCAAGGGUUUUCAGGUACCUCUAGGAAAAUUCUAUCUAGUUGAUGGUGGGUAUGCAAAUACUCCAUCUUUUCUUGCUCCAUACCGAGGAGUUCGGUACCACUUGAAGGCCUUGUUCGUUUGUAUCAGAUUGCACCCGAAAACGUUCCACCUAAUUAAAGUUUAUAUAAAUUAGAGAAACAACCCGGUUAGGAAUGGUUCCAACCCACCAAUCCGGCAGAAACGAACAAGGCCGAAGGAAUUUGGGGCUGGACAUCGAAGACCACAGAACCCGAAGGAGCUCUUCAACCAUCGUCACGCACUUCUGAGGAACCAUGUGGAAAGGGCUUUGGGGUGCUUAAAAAGCGCUUCUCCAUUCUCAAAGUUGCCACGUUCCACACACUGGAAAACCAAGUAAAGAUACCUAUAACUGUUGCCAUCUUCCACAAUCUAAUCCGAUCACUUCAUGGUGAUGAGGAUUGGUUAGAUCAUCAGCCGGAUAAUAUUGAUCCAUCAAACUUUGUUGAUCUACCAAGUGGUGAUCAAAUGAGUGACCCAGGCACUACACAAGGCAAUGCUUUAAGAGAUACCAUCGCCCAAGAAAUGUGGGCUCAAUACCAACAACAUCUAAAUUAGUAUUUUCGUGGUUGAAUAAGUUAUAAUAAUUUAAUUAGUAGUAUUGUAACAUGUAAAACAACACUUUAAGUUAGUAGUAUUGUAAAAUAUAAUAAGUUUUUUCUUUAAAAAGCUAUGGUUGGAAAAGGCUCCCCAAGGUUCAACAUAGGUGGUUCCCCAAAGUUGCGUAGGUUCAUUCCUACAACAAGUGCUACUAAAAAGAAGGCUUCUCCUAAAUGCAGUGGGGCAAAAAAGAGUGGAAGUUCUCCAAGAGGUAUUGUGUUCAAUGUUUCUUCAUGCUUUCUUGUAAGUUUUAUAUUACUGAUGUGUGACCAUUGUUUAUGUAGUAGUGAAACAAAGAGCGGAUUGGAAUCCAGGCAUUGAGAGGUCUCUUGUUGACAUUCUCCAUGAAUUUAAAGAAAGUGGAUAUAGAGGUGACAAUGGUUGGAACUCCGAAGGGUGGAAUAGAAUGGUCAAGGAGUUUCAUGUGAGGAACAAGUAUGUCUCCUUUACAAAGUCUUAAAUUCAGGAUGAAGAAGGUCAGCUGAAGAGAGACUACAAGAUGCUCAAAGCAGCAAAGCAACAGAGUGGGUCCACCUGGAAUGAGAAAAGGAAUAUGGUUGAAGGACCACCAGCUUUGUGGGAGAAUCUCAUGGUGGUAAGUUGAUUUCUUGAAAUUCAAUUAUCAAAUUAGUUAUGUAGGAUAACCUUAUAAUGAUAAUCUCGUAUUUGAUCAAUGUUUUUUAAUUGUGCAGACAUUUCCUAAAAUCAAGAAGUUUAACAACAACAAGGCAACCUUCCCGCUCUUUGAUGCUUUGGGAGAGCUUUAUGAUGGUAAGUUUCCAAACAUCAUACUGAAAUAUAUAAUAUAGUUUAACUUCUGAAUUUCAGUAUGAUCCUUCUAAAUGUCCCAUUCAAAAUGUCCCAUUCUUUCCACUCGUGCUCUAGGUAGAGACAUAUUUUUGCUAAGUUUAUAUUUCUUUGUUAUUGUGUAGGACACUUGGCUGAAGGGACUUGGAAUUGCACUUCUCUUGAGGCACCGCAAGAGGAAGAACCGAAUGAGCAACUUCAGGAUGCAGAAGAUGGACCACAAGGCUUUGAUCUGAAUGUUGUUCAUGAUGUAGAUGAUGAAGUUGAUGAUGCACUCACUGAAAGGAAUGAAGAUAUGCUUGAAGGAAGGGCUAAUACUCUGUCACGAGAUGAAGAAAGUGGACAGCGAAGACCUGUUGCGUCAAGAAACAAGCAAGAAAAGGAACCAAAGAAGCCUAGAAAGACUGACAACAUAGAAAAUAUGAUGAACAAAUACCUAGAAAUGAGGAGCAAGCAAGUAGAAGAUGAAGUUGCAAGAGAAAAGGAAGCAAGAGAAAAGGAGACAAGAGAAAAGGAGGCAGCUCAAAGUGAAGAUUUCUCCAUCAAAAGGUGCAUAUCAGUUCUGAACACAAUGGAAGAAGUGACCAAACUGGAGAAGGCAAAAGCAUAUUCAGUCUUCACCAAGAGCAAAGAGAAUAGAGAGACUUUCAUAUGUGCAUGUGAAGCGGAUCAAGAAUCAGCUUUGAUUUGGCUAAGAAAUGAGAUGGCUUAGUAGGUAUGAUAUUUGUGUCUUUACCUUCCACUCAACCAUAUUCACUUGGGCCUUUAUAUUCCAAUCUAAUUGUUCUAUUUGUUUGGACAGGUUUGGGUGAUCAAUCGGUGAUGCUUAGCACAUCUGGAGGUUUCUUAUUUUGAACUGACAUGCUUAGUUCUAAAGUGAUGUUUCUUCUUAGCACAUCUGUUCUAUCUCUUAGCUGUUGAAGAUGUCAGUCUAUCAAGACUGUUCUUUGCGUUUGUUGGCAAGACUAUAAUUUAUUUGGCAAGACUAUAAUUUAUUUGACAUGCUUUGUUGUUUUAAAACUAUUUUGGCUUUACUACUACGUACCAAGUCUGCUGUUGGUGCUCUAUUGUAGAAUGCUGUCCAAAACAGAAGCUUUUGCUGGACAGGUGACGUGCUUACAAGCUCAGAUUGAUUCAUGAAAUUGCUUUGUUUCUGUUGGUGUACCAAUUUUUUUGAGUUUUGUUUGUGACAUUGUGUGUGGCUGAAAAUUUGAUUUCAACUGAAGUGACAAGAUUCAAUCCUUUGCUACCAAACAGAUAAAAAUUGCUUCCCUUGAUUCAUUCUAGC